CACGUGGGAGGAAGGCCACGAUACGUGGUUGUGGUUCAUAGCCUCGGAAACAAAUAUACCUACCUACCCCGCCCCACCUUGCCUGCUCUCGCCCACCCGUCCCCUGUCUUCGCAACGGGAAGGCUGCCUGAUUGCUGGAGUGUGUACUGCAAAGAGAAGCACCGGCUCAGUCGGUGCACACGCUGCCGACAAGCCUAAUCCUCUUUUCGCCGGGAAAAGGAGGGAAUCUGGCCCCAAACAAACACGCAUCUCUGUUUGUGGCUUUCCCUGGCAUACACACAAACAUCCCAAAAACACUCCCACUGCAAGCUCCCACGCUGCAAUAAUCCAUGCAUCGGUAAAACUUUUGCAGAAACUGAGCUGGAAAGGAGAAAUGGCUGUAGGACAGAACAUCUGUAAUUAUCCCUAAUGAGCUUAUUCUAUGCAGGCUGCGAUUUAGAAAUGCAAAAGUUGGCCCACGUUGGCCUUCGCGUCGACUUUAAUGGCCAGGCGAAAGAGUUGAGGUGUCGCUUUGAACAGCAAGAACCGGCACCUGUACCUGAUCAAAUCUUCAAAGAUUUUACACACAAGUCCCCACAGAAUGAGUAGAACUUAAUAAGUAAGGCUUUUUGAAGCUGACCGUGACACCAGCUGAACCCUGACACCCUCACAUGAUUAAUAGCAUUAUGCUCAACAUGAUCAAGAUGUGCUGUUGGGAACAGAGGUGAGUUCAAGACCUGGAUGAUGCACAAUGAACAUCUUAUCAGUAGUCAUCAACCCUGCUCCCGGAGAGCUGCUGCCAUGCAUGUUUUAGGUAUCUCCCCACUCACACACCUGAUUCUAAUUAUUAACUCAUUAUCCAGCCCUUGACAAGCGUCAGUUGCUCACAUUUUUUUCACAACUGACACCAAACUAACAAAUGGUUUUUUGGUUGGCAGGUAUCUUAGCACGAUCAUGAUUUGCCCUUGGUGUGUAAGGUUGUGAGUUUGAGUUCUGGGUGAUGCAGAAUAUAUUUGCUAAUGUCUACUCAGCCAUUGUGCUGUGUGGAUUAGGAAAGUGUGAUUUCAAGGUUUAAUAACUUCUCCAUCUUCCUCCUUCUUCUUCCUCCUCCUCAAAAUGCCUGGCCCGACUCACAGCUGCGCAGCAGCAAUAAUUAUUCUUGUUUUUCAGAUGUUAUGCAUUUCCAA